UACGAAGGGUGCAAGCGUUAAUCGGAAUUACUGGGCGUAAAGCGCGUGUAGGCGGUCCGGUAAGUUGGAUGUGAAAUCUCCCGGCUCAACUGGGAGAGGACGUUCAAUACUGCCGGGCUAGAGGACGGUAGAGGGAGGUGGAAUUCCCGGUGUAGUGGUGAAAUGCGUAGAUAUCGGGAGGAACACCAGUGGCGAAGGCGGCCUCCUGGGCCGUACCUGACGCUCAGACGCGAAAGCUAGGGGAGCGAACGGGAUUAGAUACCCGCGUAGUCC
rnacentral:rRNA from 1 species